UGGGUCUGGUACUAUUUAAUAUUUCCAUUAAUAACUUGAAUAACAGAGUGGAGAGUAUGGUUAUAAAACUUGUUGAUGACAACCUGGGAGGGAGUGGGGA